rnacentral:rRNA from 1 species
GUUACUGCUAUCGGAGUUCGAUUAAGCCAUGCGAGUCUAAAGGUUUCUUCGGAAGCCUUGGCGGACUGCUCAGUAACACGUGGAUAACCUGCCCUUAGGUCUGGCAUAACCCCGGGAAACUGGGGAUAAUACCGGAUAGAUCAGGGGUCGCUGGAAUGCGCCCUGAUCCAAAGCUCCGGCGCCUAAGGAUGGGUCUGCGACCUAUCAGGUUGUAAUGGGUGUAAUGUACCUACUAGCCGACGACGGGUACGGGUUGUGAGAGCAAGAGCCCGGAGAUGGAUUCUGAGACACGAAUCCAGGCCCUACGGGGUGCAGCAGGCGCGAAACCUUUACAAUGUACGAAAGCAUGAUAAGGGAACUCCGAGGGCCAGCAUUAAAUGUUGGCUGUCCUUGUGCCUAAAACGCACAAGAUAGCAAGGGCCGGGUAAGACCGGUGCCAGCCGCCGCGGUAACACCGGCGGCCCGAGUGGUAGCCGCUAUUAUUGGGUCUAAAGGGUCCGUAGCCGGUUUGAUAAGUCCUCUGGGAAAUCUGAUUGCUCAACAAUCAGGCUGCCAAGGGAUACUGUCAAACUUGAGACCGGGAGAGGUAAGAGGUACUUCAGGGAUAGGAGUGAAAUCUUAUAAUCCUUGGGGGACCGUCUGUGGCGAAGGCGUCUUACCAGAACGGGUCUGACGGUGAGGGACGAAAGCUGGGGGCGCGAACCGGAUUAGAUACCCGGGUAGUCCCAGCCGUAAACGAUGCUCGCUAUGUGUCAGAUACGGUGCGACCAUAUCUGGUGCCGUAGGGAAGCCGUGAAGCGAGCCACCUGGGAAGUACGGCCGCAAGGCUGAAACUUAAAGGAAUUGGCGGGGGAGCACUACAACGGGUGGAGCCUGCGGUUU